GCUGGCGGCAGGCCUAACACAUGCAAGUCGAGCGGUAACAUUUCUAGCUUGCUAGAAGAUGACGAGCGGCGGACGGGUGAGUAACGCGUAGAAAUCUACCUAGUAGUGGGGGAUAGCCCAGAGAAAUUUGGAUUAAUACCGCAUACGCCCUACGGGGGAAAGCGGGGGAUCUUCGGACCUCGUGCUAUUAGAUGAGUCUGCGUCGGAUUAGCUUGUUGGUGAGGUAAUGGCUCACCAAGGCGACGAUCCGUAGCUGGUCUGAGAGGAUGACCAGCCACACUGGAACUGAGACACGGUCCAGACUCCUACGGGAGGCAGCAGUGGGGAAUAUUGCACAAUGGGCGCAAGCCUGAUGCAGCCAUGCCGCGUGUGUGAAGAAGGCCUUAGGGUUGUAAAGCACUUUCAGCAGUGAGGAAAGGGGUGUCGUUAAUAGCGCCAUCCAGUGACGUUAACUGCAGAAGAAGGACCGGCUAACUCCGUG
rnacentral:rRNA from 1 species